rnacentral:rRNA from 1 species
AACGCGUGGGUAACCCACCUUCGAAUCUGGAAUAACUCCGCGAAAGCGGUGCUAAUACCGGAUAAGACCACAGCCGUUUCGGCGGCAGAGGUAAAAGCUGACCUCUCCAUGGAAGUUAGCGUUCGAGGACGGGCCCGCGUCCUAUCAGCUUGUUGGUGGGGCAAAGGCCUACCAAGGCAGCGGCGGGUAGCUGGUCUGAGAGGAUGAUCAGCCACACUGGAACUGGAACACGGUCCAG